rnacentral:rRNA from 1 species
GAACGAACGCUGGCGGCGUGGAUUAGGCAUGCAAGUCGAACGGAACUUCUAGCUUUUCGGAAGUUUAGUGGCGGAAGGGUGAGUAACACGUGGGUUACCUGCCCUAGGGCUCGGGAUAACCUGUCGAAAGACGGGCUAAUACCGGAUACGUCUCAUACUUUUCGAAGUAUGAGGGAAAGAUGGGGAUCCGUAAGGACCUAUCACCCUUGGAUGGGCCUGCGGCCUAUCAGCUAGUUGGUGAGGUAAUGGCUCACCAAGGCUAAGACGGGUAGCUGGUCUGAGAGGAUGGUCAGCCACACUGGGACUGAGACACUGCCCAGACACCUACGGGUGGCUGCAGUCGAGAAUCUUUCGCAAUGGGGGAAACCCUGACGACGCGACGCCGCGUGGAGGAUGAAGGUCUUCGGAUUGUAAACUCCUGUCAGCUGGGAGGAAUAAGCAACUGGCUAAUAGCCGGUUGCCGUGACAGUACCAGCAGAGGAAGCCACGGCUAACUCUGUG